rnacentral:rRNA from 2 species
GCGCAACCCUUAUCCUUUGUUGCCAGCGGUUAGGCCGGGAACUCAAAGGAGACUGCCAGUGAUAAACUGGAGGAAGGUGGGGAUGACGUCAAGUCAUCAUGGCCCUUACGACCAGGGCUACACACGUGCUACAAUGGCGCAUACAAAGAGAAGCGACCUCGCGAGAGCAAGCGGACCUCAUAAAGUGCGUCGUAGUCCGGAUUGGAGUCUGCAACUCGACUCCAUGAAGUCGGAAUCGCUAGUAAUCGUGGAUCAGAAUGCCACGGUGAAUACGUUCCCGGGCCUUGUACACACCGCCCGUCACACCAUGGGAGUGGGUUGCAAAAGAAGUAGGUAGCUUAACCUUCGGGAGGGCGCUUACCACUUUGUGAUUCAUGACUGGGGUGAAGUCGUAACAAGGUAACCGUAGGGGAACCUGCGGUUGGA